GCAUCAUGAAUAUAAAACCUACCUUUCCAAGCGCGGCGGACCCGGAUGUUCUGCUCCGACACUAGGUUCCAGGUGCAGGUGUAUUUCAAUGGAGUUAAAAGUUACUGAUCCAUGAGAGGACCUUCCCUCUUAUCCCAUGACUGCUUAGUUUGCUUAAGAGCUGUUGGAGUGGGACCUUGUCAAAGGACACUGUAUCCACUGGAGCACCCUUGUCCACAUGUUGACUCCUUCCAAGAAUUCUAAUAGAUUGGCUUCCGGUUCCUGGAAGCAAGUGAUCAUGUGAGAAUGUCAGCUUUCAUUUAUAAAAGAGAGAGGAGAGUAGAAAGAAUCUUCCGUAGAAACAGCAUGAAUCUCUACUAUUGAAAGUUCAGAUCCUGUUCUGAUGUAACUCUCUCUUUGAUCUCGGACUAUUUUUCUUUGGCACUGGAUUGAAGAAUUUAAAGGAGUUGAAGAGAACCGAACUUAUAAUUCAGGAGUUAUAACAUGGGAUCUUUCAAAUAAAACCAAUGAU